rnacentral:misc_RNA from 1 species
CAGUCAACGUUUACACACAUUGGAGUUUUUUACUUUAACUUAAUUCUUUCUGCUUUGAAUCGAAAGGUUCAAGGCAAAAAACAAACACAAACAAUUUUAUUUUAUUAUAAUUUUUUAAACUAAACCAAAAUUCCUAACGGAAAUUUUAAAAUAAUUUAAAACUUUCAACAACGGAUCUCUUGGUUCUCGCAUC